AGCAGCCGCGGUAAUUCCAGCUCCAAUAGCGUAUAUUAAAGUUGUUGCAGUUAAAAAGCUCGUGGUUGAAUUUCGGGAUCAAUGCGUCGGUCGUGCCUUCGGUACGUACUAGCGUCAUUGAUUCCUCCCUUCUGAAGAACCGUGAUGUCAUUAAUUUGGUGUUACGGGGAAUCAGGACUGUUACCUUGAAAAAAUUAGAGUGUUUAAAGCAGGCUAACGCUUGAAUACAUUAGCAUGGAAUAAUGAAAUAGGACGUUCGAACCUAUUUUGUUGGUUUCUAGGAUCGACGUAAUGAUUAAUAGGGAUAGUUGGGGGCAUUAGUAUUCAAUUGUCAGAGGUGAAAUUCUUGGAUUUAUUGAAGACUAACUACUGCGAAAGCAUUUGCCAAGGAUGUUUUCAUUAAUCAAGAACGAAAGUUAGGGGAUCGAAGACGAUCAGAUACCGUCGUAGUCUUAACCAUAAACUAUGCCGACUAGGGAUCGGAUGAUGUUAAUUUUUAAUGACUCAUUCGGCGCCUUAC
rnacentral:rRNA from 1 species